rnacentral:rRNA from 1 species
AGGGAUCAUUACCGAGUUUACAACUCCCAAACCCCUGUGAACAUACCUUAAUGUUGCCUCGGCGGAUCAGCCCGCUCCCCGUAAAACGGGACGGCCCGCCAGAGGACCCAAACUCUAAUGUUUCUUAUUGUAACUUCUGAGUAAAACAAACAAAUAAAUCAAAACUUUCAACAACGGAUCUCUUGGUUCUGGCAUCGAUGAAGAACGCAGCAAAAUGCGAUAAGUAAUGUGAAUUGCAGAAUUCAGUGAAUCAUCGAAUCUUUGAACGCACAUUGCGCCCGCUGGUAUUCCGGCGGGCAUGCCUGUUCGAGCGUCAUUUCAACCCUCAAGCCCCCGGGUUUGGUGUUGGGGAUCGGCUCUGCCUCACGGCGGUGCCGCCCCCGAAAUACAUUGGCGGUCUCGCUGCAGCCUCCAUUGCGUAGUAGCUAACACCUCGCAACUGGAACGCGGCGCGGCCAUGCCGUAAAACCCCAACUUCUGAAUGUUGACCUCGGAUCAGGUAGGAAUACCCGCUGAACUUAA